rnacentral:rRNA from 1 species
GAGUUUGAUCGUGGCUCAGAUUGAACGCUGGCGGCAUGCCUUACACAUGCAAGUCGAACGGCAGCAUGAUCUAGCUUGCUAGAUUGAUGGCGAGUGGCGAACGGGUGAGUAAUACAUCGGAACGUGCCCUGUAGUGGGGGAUAACUAGUCGAAAGAUUAGCUAAUACCGCAUACGACCUGAGGGUGAAAGUGGGGGACCGCAAGGCCUCAUGCUAUAGGAGCGGCCGAUGUCUGAUUAGCUAGUUGGUGGGGUAAAGGCCCACCAAGGCGACGAUCAGUAGCUGGUCUGAGAGGACGAUCAGCCACACUGGGACUGAGACACGGCCCAGACUCCUACGGGAGGCAGCAGUGGGGAAUUUUGGACAAUGGGCGAAAAGCCUGAUCCAGCAAUGCCGCGUGUGUGAAGAAGGCCUCGGUUGUAAGU